rnacentral:rRNA from 1 species
GAGUUUGAUCCUGGCUCAGAUUGAACGUUGGCGGCAGGCUUAACACAUGCAAGUCGAACGAGAAAGGUCCUUCGGGGCCGAGUAAAGUGGCGGACGGGUGAGUAACGCGUAGGAAUCUACCUAGUAGUGGGGGACAACUCGAGGAAACUCGAGCUAAUACCGCAUACGACCUAAGGGUGAAAGUGGGGGAUCUUCGGACCUCACGCUAUUAGAGGAGCCUGCGUUGGAUUAGCUUGUUGGUGAGGUAACGGCUCACCAAGGCUUCGAUCCAUAGCUGGUCUGAGAGGACGAUCAGCCACACUGGAACUGAGACACGGUCCAGACUCCUACGGGAGGCAGCAGGUGGGAAUAUUGCACAAUGGGCGAAAGCCUGAUGCAGCCAUGCCGCGUGUGUGAAGAAGGCCUUAGGGUUGUAAAGCACUUUCAGUUGGGAGGAAAGGGUAACGGUUAAUAUCCGUUAUCUGUGACGUUACCAACAGAAGAAGCACCGGCUAACUUCGUGCCAGCAGCCGCGGUAAUACGGAGGGAGCGAGCGUUAAUCGGAAUUACUGGGCGUAAAGCGCGCGUAGGCGGCUUUGUAAGUCGGAUGUGAAAGCCCUGGGCUCAACCUGGGAAUUGCAUUCGAUACUGCAGAGCUAGAGUAUGGUAGAGGGCCACGCCGUAAACGAUGAGAACUAGCCGUUGGGACCCUUGAGGUCUUAGUGGCGCAGCUAACGCGAUAAGUUCUCCGCCUGGGGAGUACGGCCGCAAGGUUAAAACUCAAAUGAAUUGACGGGGGCCCGCACAAGCGGUGGAGCAUGUUGUUUAAUUCGAUGCAACGCGAAGAACCUUACCACCCCUUGACAUCCUCGGAACUUUCUAGAGAUAGAUUGGUGCCUUCGGGAACCGAGUGACAGGUGCUGCAUGGCUGUCGUCAGCUCGUGUCGUGAGAUGUUGGGUUAAGUCCCGUAACGAGCGCAACCCUUGUCCUUAUUUGCCAGCGGAUUAUGCCGGGAACUCUAAGGAGACUGCCGGUGACAAACCGGAGGAAGGUGGGGAUGACGUCAAGUCAUCAUGGCCCUCACGGGGUGGGCUACAAACGUGCUACAAUGGGCGGUACAAAGGGCUGCGAACCAGCGAUGGUAAGCGAAUCCCAAAAAACCGCUCGUAGUCCGGAUAGGAGUCUGCAACUCGACUCCUUGAAGUCGGAAUCGCUAGUAAUCGCGAAUCAGAAUGUCGCGGUGAAUACGUUCCCGGGCCUUGUACACACCGCCCGUCACGUCAUGGGAGUGGGUUGCACCAGAAGUAGCUAGUUUAACCUUCGGGAGAACGGUUACCACGGUGUGGUCCAUGACUGGGACGAAGUCGUAACAAGGUAGCCGUAGGGGAACCUGCGGCUGG